CAGGCUCCAUGCGGGGAGCUUGACGUGGGACUCAAUCUGUGGUCUCCAGGAUCAGGCCCUGGGCUGAAGGCAGCGCUAAACCACUGAGCCACCCAGGCUGCCCCUGUUCUUUUGUUCUAAGAAUUAAAAGAGAAUGUUUAAGUCUCCCUUUUGGAAUGUGGUUUUUGUCAAUUUCUUCUUAUAUAUUGCUUUAAUGUAUUUUCAUUAAAGUUAAUGGCCUCCAUUUUGGAGGUUUGGAGGGUGUAAUUACCCACAGCUCUCUCCUUUCCAGUUUAUAAACUAUUGAGAAGAUAUUCAGAAAUCAGAUUGGAAUGAAAUAUUAGCUUCAUUGCAUGCUAAAUUGCAUUGGAGGAUUAAGUUUAGAUUUCUAGCCAAAAUUGACAACUUACUCACUUUAUUUAGUUAUAAGCGGGGUAGCUAGGAUAGGAAAAGGCAGUAGCCCCAAACUUUCUAAGUAGCGGGGGUAGGGACAACAAUGGGGUUAGAAGAGCAUCCUAGGGAUUGUAUUAUGAAAUCAUGUCUGAAUAGCAAGCACACUGUUUUACUGUUAAUUCUAGUGGCUUGGAUGGGGAAGACUGAAUUUCUCUGAAGUCACACAUUAACGGCAUUCUAUGUUUCAGGGAGGUUUCCAUAUGGAACUCACUUAAAGUAGGUGGCUCUAAGAGAGCAUGCCAAAGAGAGGAGACGACGAAUGCACAAUGAUCCUUUACUGAUUUCGCUGAUCCAGUGUCAUCUCUGUGGAAGGAACAUAAGAGAGCUGUAAGGGAUGCACAUCUGGAGGCUUGGGACUUAAUUCUGAGAGGUUGGGGAGUUUCUAUUUCAAGGGAGGCAGGCACUCAGAGAAGGAAAAAAUGGUUUCUUUCUCCUUUGACAUUAGUGUGUAAUUUUUUGCAUCAUUAAAAUCUCCUUUUUAUAAUGUAAAUCUUAUUUAAAUUCAAUUAAUUAACAUAUAAUGUAAUAUUGGUUUCAGAGGUGGAGGUCAGUGAUUCAUCAAUCUUGUAUAAUACCCAGUGCUCAUUACAUCACAUGCCCUCCUUUAUGUCCAUCACCCAGUUAUCUCCAACUACCUUCUAACUUAAAUUUCAUUUUGGUAUUGGUAUCAAGACCUCCUACUUUGCUUUAAUUUGAAUUUCUCAUUACAUCUUUGUCUGUCCCUCGGUUUCUUUUAUGCUUUCCAUAUAAUGGUUUUUCAUAGAUUGCUUAUAAAGAACAUAUUGUUGGAUUUUUUAAAAAGCCAGUACAGUGUUUUAGCUUUUUACACUUAUAGUUAUUACUACUGGGUUUUUUUUUACAUUUGUCCUCUAAUAAUAGGAUUUCUUGAUUUUUUGCUUAAGUUUUUAUCUUUCUCUCUGUUAAUUUGAAAGCUGCUAAUCUUGAUACUUUUAUGUUAUUUUAAUUUUUUUUUAAGAUUUUAUUUAUUUAUUCAUGAGACAGAGUGAGAGAGAGAAGGAGAGACACAGGCAGAGGGAGAAGCAGGCUCUGUGCAGGGAGCCUGACAUCGGACUCCAUCCCGGGUCUCCAGGAUCAGGCCCUGGGCCCAAAGUGGUGCUAAACCACUGAGCCACCCGGGCUGCCCGAUGUUACUUUAAAAUUAAACAUGUAUGUAUGUACUCAUUCUUUCAUUUAUUUCCCAAAUUUUUCUAUCAGUGUCAAGAAUAAAUCUAAACCUUUAGACCUUCCUCAGUGUAGAAUAUAAAAAUUAGCAUACUUUUUUCAUUCCUUCUUUUCCACUUCUUAGUUUUUUGUUGAAACAUUAUAGGCUCUUAAAUUAAUUGUUAUUAUUUUACUUUAUCUUCCCUUUCAAGACUUUUGCCUCAUAUGAAUAUUAAGUUUAAUAACCAUAUUAACAAUUACUUAGACAUUAACAAUUUUAUUGGUUUUACUGCUUGUUGACUUUUCUGCCUCUGCUUUUCAAAUUUUGAUUUUUUUUUUUUUGGUGUCUCAUAUAUUUCCUUAGUAAGGUAUUAUAAGAACUAGGUUACUUUAAGAAUAGUUAUUAGGACUUAGUAUUUUCCCUCUCAAAUUGAAGUAAACUAGCAUUCCCCAAAUAAUGGCUAUCUUUCUGAGUUUGGGAAAUAUGAAGGUGAACAAAAUUAAGCAUGCUUCCCUAUUACAAGCUUCUCAGAACCUGUACCGCACAAUUAUGUAUUAUGAAUCUUUUAGAGGAGCAUGCCUCAUUUCCUAAACUUGAUACCACUCUAAUUCUCUUGGUAUUCAGUGUUACAGAGACGAACCAUUAUUUUAAUUCAAAUGCCCUCCUCUUGCUAAUGUCUUUGCCCAGAUUUUACUCCUUCAUUACUGAAAUUAAAUGUCAGCAGGACAUGUCUACUGUAGGUCUUUUUUUUUUUUUUUUAAUCUUUUGUGGUACUCUGUAUCAGACAAGAGUUCAGUGCAUAAGACAGAAACUAUACUAGAUGUUUUUUUAAAAAAAAAAAGGAUUUAAAAAAAUAAGAAAAAAAAAAGGAUUUAAUACCAGGAAUAAAGUGCUUAUGAAAUCAGAACU
rnacentral:lncRNA from 1 species